GCACCCGUAGCUCAAUUGGAUAGAGCGUCUGACUACGGAUCCGAAGGUUGAUGGUUCAACUCCAUCCGGGUGCACCA
rnacentral:tRNA from 1 species